GACGAACGCUGGCGGCGUGCUUAACACAUGCAAGUCGAACGGAAAGGCCCUGCUUUUGUGGGGUGCUCGAGUGGCGAACGGGUGAGUAACACGUGAGUAACCUGCCCCUUACUUUGGGAUAACUUCAGGAAACUGGGGCUAAUACCGGAUAGGAGCUCUUGCUGCAUGGUGGGGGCUGGAAAGUUUCGGCGGUUGGGGAUGGACUCGCGGCUUAUCAGCUUGUUGGUGGGGUAGUGGCUUACCAAGGCUUUGACGGGUAGCCGGCCUGAGAGGGUGACCGGCCCCAUUGGGCCUCAGAUACGGCCCGGACUCCUACGGGAGGCAGCAGUGGGGGUUAGUGCACAAUGCGCGGAAGCCUGAUGCAGCAACGCCGCGUGCGGGAUGACGGCCUUCGGGUUGUAAACCGCUUUCGACUGUGACGAAGCGUGAGUGACGGUAAUGGGUAAAGAAGCAACGGCUAACUACGUG
rnacentral:rRNA from 1 species